rnacentral:rRNA from 1 species
CAUCUAAGUGCGAAGCCGGCCGCAAGAUGAGGGCUCCCUGAGGGUCGUCCCAGACGAGGACGUUGAUAGGAGGCAGGUGUAAAGACGGUGACGUCAAAGCCGAGCCUUACUAAUUGCCCGAGGCUUUUCGCAG